rnacentral:rRNA from 1 species
UCGUUGCUACACGAAGAACCUUACCUGGGUUUGACAUAGUAGGUUGUAGGGAACUGAAAGGGACCGACCCUUCGGGGAGCCUAUACAGGUGUUGCAUGGCUGUCGUCAGCUCGUGUCGUGAGAUGUCGGUUAAGUCCGCUAACGAGCGCAACCCUCGUCGUAUGUUAUAUGUGUCAUACGAGACUGCCGGUAAAAGCCGGAGGAAGGUGAGGAUGAUGUCAAGUCAGCAUGACCUUUAUAUCCAGGGCUACACACACGCUACAAUGGUCUGUACAAUGGGUAGCCAAGCCGCGAGGCGGAGCCAAUCCUGAAAGCAGGCCUCAGUUCAGAUUGCAGUCUGCAACUCGACUGCAUGAAGCCGGAGUUGCUAGUAACCGCAGGUCAGCAAUACUGCGGUGAAUACGUUCCCGGGUCUU